rnacentral:tRNA from 4 species
GCGGUCGUAGCUCAACUGGUUAGAGCACUCGCCUGUCACGUGAGAGGUUGUGGGUUCAAGUCCCAUCGACCGCG